rnacentral:pre_miRNA from 1 species
GUACACAGGGCCCGAUCCAAAGCCCACUGAAAUCAAUAUGAGCUUUUCUAUUGAGCUCAAUGGGCUUUGGAUCAGGCCCAGAAUUC